rnacentral:lncRNA from 1 species
UUCAUACUGUGCCGCUCACUGGAGUGGCUUCCACCUGGAGUAAAACCUUAUCUGGCCUUAUCUGGCAAAGGAGUCUAUAGACUGGGGGUUGCUGAAUCAGGUGGCAGCCCAUGGCUGGAAGUGAGCAUAGCAGUGAAUUUCAACAAGCUGAUGUGCAGAGCCAUGUAGAGGAAGUUAGGGCAUGGCUGCAGUGAUUCUGUCCCUGACCAGAGGGACUGGUUAGCCAGAUUUGGUCCUAAUAGGACAUUCAGGUUUUGAGAGUUACCUGAUGAUUUAGAAAAUAACAAAGCAUCCUAAAUGUGGAAAGGAAGUGUCUCAACCUGACACUUAAGGUGAAGUGCUGAAAGCACACUGUUUCAUCUCAGAACAAGACAAAGAAGCCCGCCAUCCCCAUGUCCAUAUAAUGUUGUACUGGGUAUCCCAUGUACAAAAUAAGGCAAAACC